AUGAAUGUAAGAAAGGAGAGGAAACAGUUUUUGAUACAUUUUCUAGAUAAGACUGAAGGUACUCGUACAAUAGAGACAUUUUCAUUAUUUCAGUUCAGACAGUAGAGGGAUACUAGGUACACUUUUCUCACAACAGAAAAACGACAGCUGCCAUGAUAUUUGUAUCAAAGAAAUAGGUUAAACUUUUUGUUAUUGAUAGAAUUUUUGUCGUAAAGAUAAGAAUCAGCUAUCAUUUAUAGGCAUUAUCAAUCAUUCCUUUGGCCAGUCCUAGGAGUCGAUAAUUAAUUAAAGAACCACCGAAGCACAAUAUAACAGUAUUUUAAGACCCAGCCUAGGUUCCUCCGAGUCCGGCACAAGAACCACAUUCCAAAGAGCAGGUAAAUAAUUUCCACUCCUACAGGUGCCUAAUAAUAUCUUAUCACUCUCUCCGACGGUUCGCUCCAAGUGCAGCAAACCGAUCGUCAAUUAACCCCCCGAAGCACUUACAAUCUAAAUGUUUCUUUUUGGGGCCAAUCAUCUCUUCGGUCGUGGCUUUACAAACGGACUUGGCUAAUCCCUGACCGGCUAGACUGUGCUUAGCGGCCAGAAGUCGGUCGUUUAUAGUCUGACCAGCCAUUCUUCCCGUCAUAUUGCACUUUUUUCACUUUGUCGACUCCAACAUAAAGCACUUUACACUUGCACUUUAACGAGUCACACACCGCAGGUCUUUGGACGCACCUUUGCCACUUUCUGGACUACGACGGGCCGCGGACUGUCACUUUACGGAUUGCGUCAAACUUGAAGGCAGUGGGCGACGUUGCCACAUUACCUAGCAACGCGACCGCCAAUAGGAAACGGCGACGACACUCGCCGGUUGUCGGCGCAAAUUUUGAAUUUUUUACCCGAUAUUUGAAUCGGAAUAUAAUUUAUUUCUCAUUAAGCCAAGUGUAAUUAAAAAGGUGUUAUGUAAUCGCAUUUCGAAACUUGGGUCAUCAAAAAAUAUUUAUCAGUGAAGAUGAAUAAAUCAAUUUAUUAAAUUAAA